GAUGAAGAACGUAGCGAAAUGCGAUACGUAGUGUGAAUUGCAGAAUUCAGUGAAUCAUCGAAUCUUUGAACGCACAUUGCGCCCUUUGGUAUUCCAAAGGGCAUGCCUGUUCGAGCGUCAUUUGUACCCUCAAGCUUUGCUUGGUGUUGGGCGUCUUGUCUCCAGUCCGCUGGAGACUCGCCUUAAAGUCAUUGGCAGCCGGCCUACUGGUUUCGGAGCGCAGCACAAGUCGCACUCUUUUCCAGCCAAGGUCAGUGUCCAACAAGCCUUUUUUCAACUUUUGACCUCGGAUCAGGUAGGGAUACCCGCUGAACUUAAGCAUAUCAAUAAGCGGAGGA
rnacentral:misc_RNA from 1 species